rnacentral:lncRNA from 1 species
GUAUGUCAUUGAAAGUGCCCGACAGAGACCUCCUAAAAGGAAAUACCUAUCAAGUGGAAGAAAAUCUGUAUUUCAAAAACUUUAUGACUUGUAUAUUGAAGAAUGUGAAAAAGAACCUGAAGUUAAGGUAAGUAUACAUUUUUAUUAUGUUGUAGCUUUUGAAAUGUAGAAGAGAGGAAUUUGGAGGAGUUACAUUUGGAGUAUUAUUUUUGUGUGUGUGAGUGAACUAACAUCUUUUUUAACCUGACCCUAGUCAAUUCUGUAGCUGACUCAGAGCUCUGGCUAAUCUGGCACCAGGCAGAGAUCACCUGCUGAGGUAGGAGUGAAGGAACAGUUAUAUUGAGUAUCAGACUGUCUCACUAGGAAGUCAUAAGCAAAGCCACAGUAUAUAUUAUCUUUUGCUUCUUCUUCCCCCGAGAAGUGAUUUAUGAGUUUAUAGCACUUCCUCCUGAGAAGUUAUUUACAGAUUUAUAGCAGUAACCUGUUUUCUCAUGAUGAUUUAAACUGGAAAGCCAGAGCUAUUACAGAGCAUGUAUGAAAUUCAAGUACAGUAAUAAAAAGUGAGCUUGGUCAUAAACCGAGUUCAUGGCCAAUUUAACUUAAUUCAUUUUUAUUUGGCAUAAAGAUAUGGGUAGUAGACAUGUAACAGAAGUCGAUUUAUUGAUGUCUUGGAGCCCUCGGGUUGGAAGGGUCUAAACGUCUCUAUGAGCUUUUGUUGUCUGUCUUUAAAAAUGAAUACAGUUUUACUAUUUAGGCCAAAAACAGUGGAAUUCCAGUAGUGUCUAACUUUAAAAUCUU